UAGGGAAUAUUGCGCAAUGGAGGAAACUCUGACGCAGCGACGCCGCGUGAGUGAUGAAGGCCUUCGGGUCGUAAAGCUCUGUCGCAGGGGACUAAGAAAGUGAAGGUACUCUGCAAGAAAGGAUCGGCUAACUUCGUGCCAGCAGCCGCGGUAAGACGAGGGAUCCUAGCGUUGUUCGGAAUCAUUGGGCGUAAAGCGGGUGUAGGCGGCUCCAUAAGUCAGGUGUGAAAGCCCAGGGCUCAACCCUGGAAGUGCAUUUGAUACUGUGGAGCUUGAGUGCGAUAGAGGUAAGUAGAAUUCCUGGUGUAGUGGUGAAAUACGUAGAUAUCAGGAGGAAUACCGGAGGCGAAGGCGGCUUACUGGAUCGACACUGACGCUCAGACCCGAAAGUGUGGGGAUC
rnacentral:rRNA from 1 species